GACGGGGGCCCGCACAAGCGGUGGAGCAUGUGGUUCAAUUCGACGCAACGCGAAGAACCUUACCUGGGCUCGAAAUGCAGUGGACCGGGGUGGAAACAUCCCUUUCCGCAAGGACUGCUGCAUAGGUGCUGCAUGGCUGUCGUCAGCUCGUGUCGUGAGAUGUUGGGUUAAGUCCCGCAACGAGCGCAACCCUUAUUGCCAGUUGCUAACACGUUAUGGUGAGCACUCUGGCGAAACCGCCCCGGAUAACGGGGAGGAAGGUGGGGAUGACGUCAAGUCCUCAUGGCCUUUAUGUCCAGGGCUACACACGUGCUACAAUGGCCGAUACAAACCGUCGCAAACCCGCGAGGGGGAGCUAAUCGGAAAAAGUCGGCCCCAGUUCGGAUUGUACCCAGCGACGAGACUACAUGAAGCUGGAAUCGCUAGUAAUCGCGGAUCAGCACGCCGCGGUGAAUACGUUCCCGG
rnacentral:rRNA from 1 species